UCUAGCGACAUUUAGCAGCGAAGCGGCAUCUCAAGAGCGGGAGCUCCAGUCAACGGUUCGAAGAGAAAUGCAGAAAGCGUUGGGAGUAUAUGGGCAGGUUCUGCGACUAGUGAGGCGGUUACCAAAGGACUCGAGGCCUUAUUACGCCAAAUACGCACGCGAAAACUUCGUCAACUACAGAGAUGUCGAGGCCAAUGACACCCAAUUCCUCGACGAGCUCUUCCUUAGAGCUUAUAACCACUCCCUAUGGGUUCUCAACAAGUAUUCGGUUGAUGAAUCGGUUGCUAAUAAACUGAAGGAGAUUUGUUGCGGCUAGAAAAGGGAACUAUGGGUGUGCCUGCCAGGUGUUUGUCUUUAUACCCCAAUGGCAGGCACGAACUCUUUUGUUUUCGAAAUGUGAGGGUUUAUGACUUGUUUCUGCUCAGCUUUUAAUGUGGUUGGAUUUUUCGCAUAUUUCUACAUUGUUUAGAUAUUUAUGUUUGCCGACGGGUUGAGUACGAUUACAUUAAUAACAGUAGUCGAUUGAAUGAAGUAUCUCAUUUUGAUCAAGUGAGUUACGAUAGUUCUGUGGUUUUCUUUCUUCCAUAUGUGUUGUGUUGCAGAAGAAGUAUCGUCCAUUUGCAUUCUCCCUGGUAAAACAACAGCUUGCAUGCUUUUAUGAAAUGGUUACAAAUAGGCUGCUUA